rnacentral:rRNA from 1 species
GACUCCUACGGGAGGCAGCAGUAGGGAAUCUUCGGCAAUGGACGAAAGUCUGACCGAGCAACGCCGCGUGAGUGAAGAAGGUUUUCGGAUCGUAAAGCUCUGUUGUAAGAGAAGAACGGGUGUGAGAGUGGAAAGUUCACACUGUGACGGUAUCUUACCAGAAAGGGACGGCUAACUACGUGCCAGCAGCCGCGGUAAUACGUAGGUCCCGAGCGUUGUCCGGAUUUAUUGGGCGUAAAGCGAGCGCAGGCGGUUAGAUAAGUCUGAAGUUAAAGGCUGUGGCUUAACCAUAGUACGCUUUGGAAACUGUUUAACUUGAGUGCAGAAGGGGAGAGUGGAAUUCCAUGUGUAGCGGUGAAAUGCGUAGAUAUAUGGAGGAACACCGGUGGCGAAAGCGGCUCUCUGGUCUGUAACUGACGCUGAGGCUCGAAAGCGUGGGGAGCGAACAGGAUUAGAUACCCUGGUAGUCCACGCCGUAAACGAUGAGUGCUAGGUGUUAGGCCCUUUCCGGGGCUUAGUGCCGCAGCUAACGCAUUAAGCACUCCGCCUGGGGAGUACGACCGCAAGGUUGAAACUCAAAGGAAUUGACGGGGGCCCGCACAAGCGGUGGAGCAUGUGGUUUAAUUCGAAGCAACGCGAAGAACCUUACCAGGUCUUGACAUCCCGAUGCCCGCUCUAGAGAUAGAGUUUUACUUCGGUACAUCGGUGACAGGUGGUGCAUGGUUGUCGUCAGCUCGUGUCGUGAGAUGUUGGGUUAAGUCCCGCAACGAGCGCAACCCUUAUUGUUAGUUGCCAUCAUUCAGUUGGGCACUCUAGCGAGACUGCCGGUAAUAAACCGGAGGAAGGUGGGGAUGACGUCAAAUCAUCAUGCCCUUAUGACCUGGGCUACACACGUGCUACAAUGGCUGGUACAACGAGUCGCAAGUCGGUGACGGCAAGCUAAUCUCUUAAAGCCAGUCUCAGUUCGGAUUGUAGGCUGCAACUCGCCUACAUGAAGUCGGAAUCGCUAGUAAUCGCGGAUCAGCACGCCGCGGUGAAUACGUUCCCGGGCCUUGUACACACCGCCGUCACACCACGAGAGUUUGUAACACCCGAAGUCGGUGAGGUAACCUUUUAGGAGCCAGCCGCCUAAGGUGGGAUAGAUGAUUGGGGUGAAGUCGUAACAAGGUAGCCGUAUCGGAAGGUGCGGCUGGAUCACCU